rnacentral:rRNA from 1 species
AUUGAACGCAGGCGGCAGGCCUAACACAUGCAAGUCGAGCGGAUGAGAAGAGCUUGCUCUUCGAUUCAGCGGCGGACGGGUGAGUAAUGCCUAGGAAUCUGCCUGGUAGUGGGGGACAACGUUUCGAAAGGAACGCUAAUACCGCAUACGUCCUACGGGAGAAAGCAGGGGACCUUCGGGCCUUGCGCUAUCAGAUGAGCCUAGGUCGGAUUAGCUAGUUGGUGAGGUAAUGGCUCACCAAGGCGACGAUCCGUAACUGGUCUGAGAGGAUGAUCAGUCACACUGGAACUGAGACACGGUCCAGACUCCUACGGGAGGCAGCAGUGGGGAAUAUUGGACAAUGGGCGAAAGCCUGAUCCAGCCAUGCCGCGUGUGUGAAGAAGGUCUUCGGAUUGUAAAGCACUUUAAGUUGGGAGGAAGGGCAGUAAGUUAAUACCUUGCUGUUUUGACGUUACCGACAGAAUAAGCACCGGCUAACUCUGUGCCAGCAGCCGCGGUAAAAC